rnacentral:rRNA from 1 species
UACGUAGGGUGCAAGCGUUAAUCGGAAUUACUGGGCGUAAAGCGUGCGCAGGCGGUUAUGUAAGACAGGUGUGAAAUCCCCGGGUUUAACCUGGGAACUGCAUUUGUGACUGCAUAGCUAGAGUACGGUAGAGGGGAUGGAAUUCCGCGUGUAGCAGUGAAAUGCGUAGAUAUGCGGAGGAACACCGAUGGCGAAGGCAAUCCCCUGGACCUGUACUGACGCUCAUGCACGAAAGGCGUGGGGAGCAAACGAGG